CCUACGGGUGGCAGCAGUAGGGAAUCUUCCACAAUGGACGAAAGUCUGAUGGAGCAACGCCGCGUGAGUGAAGAAGGGUUUCGGCUCGUAAAGCUCUGUUGGAAGUGAAGAAAGAUAGAGGGAGUAACUGGCCUAUAUUUGACGGGAAUUACUUAAAAAGUCACGGCUAAAUAAGUGCCAGCAAGCGCGGUAAUACGUAGGGGGCAAGCGUUUGCCGGAGUUAUUGGGCGGAAAGCGAGUGCAGGCGGUUCAAUAAGUCUGAUGUGAAAGCCGUCGGGUCAACCGGAGAAUGGCAUCAGAAACUGUUGAACUUGAGUGCAGAAGAGGAGAGUGGAACUCCAUGUGUAGCAGUGGAAUGCGUAGAUAUAUGGAAGAACACCAGUGGCGAAGGCGGCUCUCUGGUCUGCAACUGACGCUGAGGCUCGAAAGCAUGGGUAGCGAACAGGAUUAGAUACCCCUGUAGUC
rnacentral:rRNA from 1 species